rnacentral:rRNA from 1 species
UACGUAGGGUGCAAGCGUUAAUCGGAAUUACUGGGCGUAAAGCGUGCGCAGGCGGUUAUGUAAGACAGAUGUGAAAUGCCCGGGCUUAACCUGGGAACUGCAUUUGUGACUGCAUGGCUAGAGUUUGGCAGAGGGGGGUAGAAUUCCACGUGUAGCAGUGAAAUGCGUAGAUAUGUGGAGGAACACCGAUGGCGAAGGCAGCCCCCUGGGUCAAGACUGAUGCUCAUGCACGAAAGCGUGGGGAGCAAACAGG